AAAUUUGAAAUCUGGCACCUUCGGUGUCCGAGUUGUAAUUUGAAGAAGGUAACUUUGGAGUUGGCUCUUGUCUAUGUUCCUUGGAACAGGACGUCACAGAGGGUGAGAAUCCCGUGCGAUGAGAUGCCCAAUUCUAUGUAAAGUGCUUUCGAAGAGUCGAGUUGUUUGGGAAUGCAGCUCUAAGUGGGUGGUAAAUUCCAUCUAAAGCUAAAUAUUGGCGAGAGACCGAUAGCGAACAAGUACAGUGAUGGAAAGAUGAAAAGAACUUUGAAAAGAGAGUGAAAAAGUACGUGAAAUUGUUGAAAGGGAAGGGCUUGAGAUCAGACUUGGUAUUUUGCGAUCCUUUCCUUCUUGGUUGGGUUCCUCGCAGCUUACUGGGCCAGCAUCGGUUUGGAUGGUAGGAUAAUGACUAAGGAAUGUGGCUCUACUUCGGUGGAGUGUUAUAGCCUUGGUUGAUACUGCCUGUCUAGACCGAGGACUGCGUCUUUGACUAGGAUGCUGGCAUAAUGAUCUUAAGCCACCCGUCU
rnacentral:rRNA from 1 species